CUGACGUUCCUCCUUCCUCUGGCGUUCCACUUGGGACGUUUGGCCAGAGCUGGUUGUAGUGCUACAGGUCCGCGUCUCCCCGGAGCAGAGGUUUCAGCAUGUGCGGCGGGAGUGCAGCUUCCUGUCAAGAGGACUCAAGAGGGGAAAGAGGAGGCCUGGAGUGGACACCAGAAAAGGACAAUGGCCAAUAAAGUGAGCUAUCAGCCUGACAACCUCCUCCAUUAAGGGGGGCCCUGGGAGCUAGCCCGUGGUGAAACUGCCGACCUGGCAGGCAUGGAUGAUGUGGAUGUCCAGGACCAUGCAGCCAGAGGUAGCUGGCUUGAAAUGAAGCAGGGGAUGAACUCUGCAGGGGGGAAUCCCCAGAUCCAGGGCUGCCCACUGUCUUUGGUCCCACUCCCAGGCCUGGAAUCUUCCACCAAGGCUCCUCCCAGGCCAAGGCCCAGGCUUCCCUGGAGACUUCCGCCCCAUUUCCUGAAGCCUCACCUCUGGGAGGAGGAGGAAGUCCACCAGGCAGCAACUCCUCUGCCUCCUCCUGUCCGCCUUUGCCCCGGGGGAAGGGAGGGAGACACUGCGGACAGCAAACCCCCGACCCAGAGAACUCCAUCCCCGCUCCGUCGCCUCUUCUGGGGCCUAGAGACCCAGACCUGCCUUUCCACCAGUCAGAAAACAAAAGAUGAAAAAAGUCUGGAUGCAAGAGUGAAAUACUGGGUCAUGAAUAUGGUGCCUUUUUCUUGCUUACACCCGCGAGCACAGGAGAGCGGAUGCCAGUGACAUUUGUUUUCUGCUCCGCGCCGGGCACAGGUAAGCCACCAGGGGCGUCUUUCCUAACGAGGAAGAAAAAUGUCAGAACGGCGAUCAGCCUCGUUGCACCCAACAGACUUGAAAAUGAGCAAAAAUAACAGGAAAAUUCACUUUGCAUAGGCUGGCUGUCCAUCGUCCCCAGAUUAGGAGAGUGGGAUUUUCUUUGUGCCAUGCUGAGUUCUGCUACGAGGUGCCCCCACAAGUGGACACACCUCAGAGAGGGGACAUUCAUUCUGGGAAUGACUGUAUUCCAUUUAAAACCGGAGCUGAAGUCGAAGGCUGGGUCCAUGUCUGGUCCUCCUGGUCCUCCUGCUGUCUGAGGUCUGCAUGCCCAGCCCCAUCUGGGAGGCCCCACCUUCCAUUUGAGGUUAUACGUCUUCUGUGUGUGGGGGCAUGGGGCAAAGUCCACUUACUAACAACAACUUUCUGUGAUCUCACAUCACCCUUCAGCGAGCCUGUGAGAUAGGACUGUCACCCCUAUUAACAGAAGAGGAAACUGAGGCUUACAUGGGCCUCUCCACUGUGCUGUACAAGCUCCCUAUCUCUUCUGUCAAGAGCAGACACUAGAUCCUUCAUUACUGUAUUCCCCCAGAGCCCGGCCCAGAGCCUGCACAUGUGGCCCUGGGUGCAUUCUGUCAAAUGACUGAGUGAGUUGGGGUGGCGGGGUCUUGCCCCUACCGGGACCGAGUGCUCUGAGCGCAGGCGCCUUGCCACGCGUGGCUCAUGUAGGCUGGGCACACGGCAGGAGCUCCCGGCGGGGCCUGGUGGGGGCGAGCGGUGCUGCAGGAGCAGGGAAGCUCUCCUCGCUGAUUCCAGGCCAGAGCGGCAGAAAGAUGAAAGGAGGCGAACGAGGAAGUCCUUCAAGUAAUAAAUGAAAGUAACCCUGAUUGGCCUCAUUUAGAGCAGUUCAGAGAAGGAAGAGCCGAGAACCACAUGCAGCCCGUCUCCAGGGCCCAGCCCCGCCCUCCUCGAGUGGCGCAGACGACUGUGGUGGGGCUGUUGGGUGCCAUGGCACUGGACUGCCUGGGAGAGGUGCGUGGUACCCCGCCGUCCUCCUUCAUAGCCAAGGAAGCAGGAGGGACAUCUGCAGAGGACACCAAGAGAAGGUGAGCCUGUGAGAGAUGAUGGCCAGCACAAGGAGAGACAGAACGAGGCCACUGAGGUGGAGAGGUCCCACCAGAGGCACAGGGAGCUGAAUGUGUCCCCUCUGCACGGCCCCACCUGCUCCAUGCACCUCCCCUCGGGCUUCCCCACAGGGACGCAUCACUCUGCCCUCUGGGUGGGUUUGAGGCUGGGGCCAGCAGCAGACUGGGGCUGGAUGACAGUGGCUGGGUGGCCAUGCCCCAGGCUCCUCCUCCCGAGGUCCCCACUCCUGCCAGGUGGUGCUUUCCGCACAGCCACAUUGGCUGCAGAGUCAGGUAGCCCCUCCUCGCCUGGCCCCGCAGCCCAGGAGCAGGAACAGCCCCACUGCUAUUGGCCUCGAGGGGCUGCCCUCCUCCGUGAGUACCCCUUCAUCAAAAUCUCCCGAAUGGGCAUGCCCCCUGCUGCUCGCCAGGCCCUGGCGAUAUAAGGACGUCCUGGGCUUCUAACUUUGAGGUGCAGAGGGACCCUGCUGUGGAGGAGAGAGGCCCUUGCCUCUGAUGUGGGAGGCCUGUACUUCCCAAAGUCAGAGAGCCAGGCGGGCAGGGCAUCCUUGAGAGCAGACCGGGGCCUCUCCUGGAAGGCAGCAGCCGGCACAGGAGGACCCAGCCUCCUCCAUGCACCUGGGCACCCACGACUGGCUGUUUCACGAGUGUGUCUCUGGGCUCUGUUGCAGCUGUCCCCAGAGGACGGUCCUCAAGAUAAAUAAAGAAGCCUCCGCUGACUGUGCAUUCCAGUGUCCAGACUCCAGGGCCUAUUUUUAGAAUGUAGGACAACGUUCUCCCAGAAUAGACAAGACACACUAAUCCAGGAGGCAGGCCUGGGAGCGAUGAAGACAUCGAGUCUAGAGAUGAAUUAGUCGCGAGUAUAUUAUUUGAAGAAAUGUUGAACAGCUAGGCAAAUAUUUGAUCCCUUUGAAUUGGAGCUGGCGUUUUCACAGGCAGAGUGGCAGCGGCUGCCUGAGACGUCCCCUCCUCAAUGGUGUACCUGGCUGUCACGCCUGGUUCUGGAGGCCCCCCUUUUGCUACAUGCUGAGAAGUGGGGUGCCAGUUUUCCGGGCCCUGCAUGGCCAGUGGUUCCCUGGACACUGACAAAGAUUCCUUCCUCAACCAAAUUCAGCUCGGGCUCCCCUGAACUCCUUCUCAACUGGACUUCCACUUCUGGACUUGGUGACUGUCCCUGCAUCGUCCACUUUUAGGGAGAAUCCUGCUGAGUCGGUUUAGCCAGAACCCCCAACCCUCGACAUCUGAUCACCCUCGAAGCCUGGUUCCUCAUCCCAGAGCCCUCCAGGGGAUGUCUGACCCCUGGCCUGCCUUCAGCAAGAAUCCCGUUAGGUCAGUUCGGCCAGAAUCCCCGCACCCCUGACGUUUCCUCUUAGUAAUUCUCCAGCCACUGACCCCCAGCUACUCCUCGGCUGUAAUUCCCACUUCUCAUCUGUAUUCGGAGUUGAGUGGGAUCUCUCUCCUCCAGUUCAUGACCCCUUUGCAGUAGUCCCUACAUUUAUUUUGAUGAACCCCCUGAAUAAAAUCUGCCUGUCCUCAACGAGUGUCAGGAAUAAUUUUUUCUUCAACACCCACUCCCGCGCGGCUCAGGCUGCUAACCACCUCCGGGCCGAGGCACGCCAGCACCACAGGUUCAGCCCGGGCGGGUCCCCGUGAGCAAGCUAGUGCAUUGACACCUUCCACCGAGUGCUAGCAGCGUCCUCCCAGGUGCACAGGAAGGCAGCCCACCAGCUUCCCCAAGGCCAGCACUGCCACAUAGACGGCCCUGAGGGCCUCAGGGCAGGGGAGGGCAGAGAGAGGUCCCGCAUACAGUGGGGGGAGCUGCGACGCCAGCCUGCUCCCCAGGGCUCCACCACGGGUUGGCCUCGGCUGCUUCCAAGGAAGGGAUGGUUAUUUUGGAGGGGAAAUCAAGGAGAAGGGGCUGGGCCCUGGCUGUGAAUGUGUGCUGGAUGGAGCCAAGGGGAGCCGGGACUCCAGGCUGGAAAUGUGAACCAGAGGGCCUGGGGCAUAUUUGAAAUGCCUGGGGAGCUUCUGACAUAGACGAACCCCCACGCCAAGCUCAGACCUAUUGAAUGAAAUCUCUAGGUGGCGGCUUCAGCGUCCGCAUUUUUAAACUGUACACAGGUGGUUCUCCUGAGCAGCCACAAACAGAAGCACUGGCCUAGAAGGUCAUUGGGACCAAUCUUACCUAGAUCUUGAUGGUAGUGUGUCCACCUCUCUCUAAAAUACCGGUCACAUUUACCUGUCUAUUUAAACGUCUGUGAAGUCAUUAAUCGUGUCUUAUCCUUUGUGUCCCUGAAUCUAGUACAGUGCCGGACACUCACAUCAAUACAUCCAUGAAUGAAUCUGUAUUUUAACGUGGUCAUAAAACUACAGCGCUAAAAACACCCCUCGUGCCCAUUUAGUCAACAGGCCCCAUGCACACCCUGUACAGAUGGAGACAUCAAGACCCCGAGCAGAGCAGCUUCCCCCGGAAGUUCCCCCAGCCGAGAAUGCAGGCUGCAGGGCAGCCAUGGCCGUCGUUCUGCUCGCCUCAUUUUCAGUCUCUUUUCCAGGCUUUGUAAACCUGUACGUGUGAGGAGGGGUGCGCUCGGACUCAUGCCAUGGGCUGGGGCGCAUGGUCACUGCUCCCCAGUCCUCUCCUCAUAGGCAAACGCCGCUGUACGCUGGGCCUGUGUUCCAGGAACAGGUCUGGGCGUAAACUGAGCAUCGGCAAAGUGAGUCCAGUCCAUUCAACAAAUAUGUACCAGGGCCUGUUCCAGUGUCCGCAUUUAGGAUACGUCCGUGAACAAAAAGAAACACAUCCCCCCGGGGCUUACAUUCUAGCGGCAUGCGGUAGCCAGUCUCCAAAGACGGCAGCCGACGAUGCCACAGCCCCACACGCACCCUCCUUCCAUCAGCAGGGCCCUGAGUCUCCUCGCCUGGACCCGGGCCACCCUGCGACCAGCCUUGAGCGACAGCAUGCAGCAGGAGUGAGGCCGUGCUGGGUCUAGGCCUAGCCAUUAAGAGAACUGAUUUUGGUCUCUGGGAGCCCAGAGCACGAUGCAAGAAGUCCAGCCACCCUGCCCAGAAAGCAGCCCAGCCAGCCCUUGGCUGUGCCAGCCCCCCAGCCGAGGCACCGGACACAUAAGCAAUGCUAUCUGAUGUCCCAGCUCCAGUCAAGCUCCAGCUGAAGGCAGACACCUGAAGGACCCCAGUCAACAUCAUGUGCAACAGGACUGCCCACUGAGCCCAGCCACCCACGAGGUCCUUAGAAACCAUAAACUGCUAUUGCUUUAAGCCACUGAUUUAUGGGGUAUUGCUCCAACAGACAACUGAAACGUGAGGGGAGAAAGAUCAUAAACAGUAAGCGUGGGAAGUACGCUUCAUUAUCAGUCAUAUUAUCCAUUGUCAGUUAUCAGUGACUCCCAGGUCUUUGGCUUUAGACCCAUGAACACUCUCCCUCCCUUCUCUUGAGGGCACACCUCCCCAUCCUCAGGGCCUCCGCUGCCCAGCUCUCCUCUUGGCGGCAUGGUCAGAAGGUUGAAUAGUCGCCCAGGAGCACAGCCCCCAGACUUGCCCCAAAUCUCUCUGAUUGUCUGGUGCAGAGCAGGUGCUGGCUCUGUCAGAGGCCCUCCAUCAACCUCAGUCCACCCUGUAACUACCCUGCCAGGCCGCCUCUCCACAGGGGAAGGAGCAAGCGAUGAGGGCCUGAGACCGUGAACACACGAUUUGCUCACGCUCCCUGCUGCCUGCGCCAGCCUCACCUCCACUCCCUCACCUGGAAGGUAAGGCCUCCAGGGGCACAAGCUCCCCAGGCACUGUGUCAUGCUGGUCCCAUUGCCUCCUGCUCCUCCUUCUGCCCACUCACUCUUCUCGUGCUAACAGCAGACCAACUUUUCUCAGGGACCCACCCUCCCUCUCUGGUCCAUCGACUCCAUUCCCCCGUCUGGGGCAGGCUCCUUACCCAGAACACAUGGACCAAUCCAUGUAUUCUAACUGUCGCCAUGGUGAUUGGUUCAGGAAUGGGCACACAGCCAAAGCCAUGCAAUCAGAGCCGACCCCAGGACUCUGUGCUUCUAUCAAGAAGAAAACCCCCUCUUCCACCAGGAUUGCUCUUUGUGAGGAUAACGUGAGCCUAGAGCUGCCGGGGCCCCAACAGGAAGAUUGCUAGAGAAUGACACCAACGUGGUAGAAUGCAGAAGAGACCGAGACACAGACAGACAGACACAGACACAGACAGGGAGGGAGAUGAUGACAGCGUUCGAGCCCCUGGGUCCAGCAGUUCCAGAAGCAUGCUGAUCUUGUCGGCAGGAGUAACAUUUGCCAGAGGGAUUCAUCCUUUCAGGCAUAAAUGCCUCCUGUCUUUCUGAAGGGCUGAAGCGACACUCAAGGAAACCUAACAUACUCUGCUGACAGGUGCAUGAGCUGCUAACAAGGCCCAUUUACAGGUAAACAGAAGUCACUUUUAUCUGCCCACAUGUAGCAUGACAGGAAGAGGGGUGCUCAAGCCUUUUUUGGUUGUGACAGGAAACUGAUUUCAAUUGGCUUAAACAAACGGGGCACUUAUUGACCCACGUAUCCUGCUACAGAAAGGACAGGGGUGGUUCUGUCUUCAGGAACAGCUGGAUCUAGGGGCUAGAAAACUGUCUGGAUAGUCAUAGGCUUUCUCUUUUCUCUCUGCACGUGAGACUCAUUCUUCUCUGGUCUGGCUUUCUCUGCGUGUCAGGGAGCAUAGCUUCAGGCAGUCCCUGGCUUACCUCCUCAGAGCCCGGUAGCCAGAGAGAACAAAGUCUUUCCUCUCUAGAACCAGUUAGAAAAGUCCUGGGGAAGGAUUCUGAUGGGCCCAGCCUGGAUGGCUGGUCCACCCACGUGGCCAAGGUCAGAAUCUGUUAUCACAGGCAGGAAGACUGGUGCCAGCAGGCUCCAGGGGAGCACAGUGACUGGUCUUAACCGCAUCUACUUGGAGAGGGGGAGGGGAGGGUGGAGGUGGGGAGACUGUCUACACCGCAGUCAGCCUGAGGUCUAAUCAGACAGCAGUGCCCAGCGAAUGGGGCGCCCCGAGUCCCAGAACUGGGUUCCAGAGCGGCUAUCUUCCCACCAGGCUGGGGGACCGUGGCACAUCAGGUGGGGGGCGCCGCACCUGAGAGAAGGCUGGCUCGCCUUCGAAUGACACAGAGUGGAUGUCAUGGUGGCUUUGAUGGUGUUUAAUUAAAUAUUUGCCACAUUUAAUUAAUCAAAGCCUGAAAUGUGGUACCAGAUGUGACUUAGUGGACAUUACGUCUCAACAGCCCUUGGAAGGGAGCCCCGCAGGCUCGGCCUCCUGGGCCACCUGCGCAAGGGCUCCAGGAGACCCUUGGGGAGCGUCAUUAAUUAAUUAGUGACUGAGGCAGCACUGGGCUUUGCUGUUUCAGAAUGUCAUGCGUCACUCAGGCAGGGGUCUUCCUGUUGGGUCCCAGGGGAGUGGAUUAGGCAAGAGCCCAAUUCCUGGGUGGCAAAAUCUGUCCCAGACCUACACACACACCUACACGCACCUGCCACCUCCUCUAUCCAUAAAUAGUCCCUGUGCCCCAAAUUCCACCAAUAGAGAUUGCUUCCUUGGUUUCUGGCCACGUCCCCGCCCUUUGACCUGCCAUUACCCCAGGGGUUGGGAGCUCCUUGACAGCCUCCGAAGGGGGAAAGUGCUUCCUCCAAAUUGCCCAGCACAACAUGUGGCAACCUUCAGCCCCCUAAGUGUAGAGCUCAAGCACCCCUGCCACCCCCAUCCCCCAGCUAGGGUGGGGGCAGUCCUGAAGAAAGCCUCAGGGCCCAGCCCGCGGGAGGCGCAGGGCAGGUGGGCAGCUAGUUAUCCCCGGGCUGCAGGCACAGCUCUUCUGGGCCCAUCCAGGGUGGGAGGGCAGCGGCGGACACAAUGAGAUGCCAGGAUCUGCAGUCACAGUGACCUUUCCAGAAGCAAAUCUGAUGGUUUGGGGCGGCUGGGGGAUUCCCCACCACCCUCUUCAUCCAGGCUGCCCUGGCCCUGCUGCCCCCAGCAGUGCCAAGCAUCAUCCUGACUCCCCAGCCCCCAUCUCAAGAGUCUACAUUCCAGCUGCGCCAGCCUCCGGUCCGGUCCUGAAAGCACCAGGCCGAGUCCGCAUUCUUUGGCCCUCGGCACAUUCCCUUCCCUCUGCCCGACAUCCUUGACAGUCUCUCAGAUCUCACUGAAGAUGUCAGCUCCUCCAGGAAGUCCAGUUGCCUUGAGCGUGGAUUCCAGCAUGGGAGGGGUGGGUAGGCGGUCCCAGGCAGGGGCAGCCAGAUGCCACUAGGCUUCCCUGUCUAGCUUCUCGGCACAUCCCAUGCGCUCGUGGAACCACUACAGGUAUGGGAUGGAUGCCAGCGUCUCUCCCUCCUGUCUGACCCUAAGUGCAACCUCAUUUGGAGAUGGCAGUCCUUUGGCGACCCUGAGGCCUCGGUCAAGUGGCCCACAUGCUCCUUAUAGGGAUGGAAAACUGAGGCCAGAGCAAGGAAGAGGCCAGCUCAAACUGGCCUGGCAAACCAGGCUGCCCUCCCCCAGAAGUUCCUCCCCUCCCAUGCCGCUGAGCUCCGCACCCUCCUCCCAGCCCCCAGCCCUGGCACAAGCUGGCCUCGCGGGCUUCAGGAUCCAGCCAUCCCGACACCCUUGGGCACCCCCCAUCCGGUCUCCUCUGCCUUAUUCCCUGCCCUUUAUAAAUAUGCAUUGGGCCAGAGAGAUGGGGGGCCUCUUUUUGAGGGAAAAUUAACAACAGUGACAAACUUAGUUAUUCAUGCAAACCGUCAGCCCGUGAUCCCUGAUUAUGCAGGAUGCAAACUGUGCCUAUCUGAGCGACUGGGCGCCCUCAUCAAAGGCGCCCCCCGCAGCAGCCGGCCCACCUUGCCGCCGCCUUGUGCCCUCUCAGCGCCGGCACGGGCCAGUGGCGCCCCCUCCGCCAGCGCCUGCUCCUGACGCAGGGCCCCUCCACACUGGAGUUUAAAGGAUUAAUUAACCUUGUGGGAUUGGCGGGGAGAGCUCCACCUGGCUAUCUGCUGCAUGAAAGCAUCCGCUCGCCAGAGUAUUUUAAGCUCACAGUGCAGACCAUAUGGUAUUUCAAAGAACAGAAGCUGAAAGUACAGUACAUAUUUAUUCCUUCCACAGAG